AAGAAAACCACACCGGCUACACAGCUGUAUCAAAGCACAGUACAGGAGCGCAUGAGGAAGGGGAGGAGAAUCAUAACUGCCCAACCACAGUGUGCAUUUGUGGUGUUUGCAGCACGCCUCCUAUCUGAUGCUCAGAAUUCCUUGUAUGAAGACGUGCAGGAGGAUAAAAGGAGACCCAUCUCAGUUGUGCAGGAGGAUAAAAGGAGACCCAUCUCAGGUAGGGGAGAGAGAGAGAGAGGGGGAUACUGGCUUUUCUGAUCUCUCUUUACUUUUUCAGUUGCUUCACUGAAAGCAACUGAAGCACUAUGAUGAUGUCACUGCUGAUGACAACGAGACCAACCUUGAUGAUAUGUUGACAGAGUCUUUGAGAGAGGAGGGGCUGGAGGAUUAUGAUGACAUCACCACUGAUGAGAAUGCCUCUAAAUGACUAAGGUGGUGUGAGUGACUGUUGCCAGGGAUGGAUUAUGAUGAUGUGGGGGCGGAGUCUGAGGAGUGACACAUGAAGAGGCCAGCAGAGCAGAGGACUCAUCAGCUGUGGUGGACUGGAACUCUGAGCUUUUUGUUGAGAUGCCAUUUAUAUAUUUGAUAGCUUUUGACAAAGUAUGUGCAAAGCUUAAUUUCAAUGGAUAUUUUGAAAGUUCUUAACUUGUUAUGCCAUUUAUAUUGAAAGAUGUUUUUUUUAGGAUUUGUAUAGUAGUCAGGGGGAAAACUUGCAACAUCUUCAGGACAUCUACUGAACAUUUCUGGAUGAUAACAUUACAUUAAGUAAAUAAGCAAAAUAGCAUUAUUUCAACACACCUUAAAUGAACAUGCACAACAGAUCUGAAUUCCACCAACUGCAGACUCUGAUACCAUCUUUCCAUCCAGGAUGUGGCUAGGCUGGUACGCAGGGGGUUGCUAAGGGACGGUAUCCAGGAUGUGGCUAAGAUGGUAUCAGAAUCUAAAACUGGUGACAUUUUACCUAAGAGGGUUGAAACAGAGCAGUAAUUAAGGUGUUUGCUUUCACCAACUGAUGGGUUUUCCCAUAUCUCACACAUGAUCUUUUGGGCCCACCAUCGACUUCAAGGCAGCGCUGGCUGGAAGGUGCUAGAGUUAGGUGGCCGGUGGCAGCACUGCCUUGAAGUCGACGGUGGGGGCCUGAAACAACGUCAAGCUGCACAUCACACUUCAGAUUUUGCACUUAGACCAUUAACAUAGAACUCAAAAUGACUGAUUGGGGAUGUGAACUGUGAUAUCAAAUAUGCAUUUGAUAUGUACCUUCACCUUUGACCACUUUUCAGGAUCAUUUGCUUGGAGUAUUAGGGAUUGCAUUGUUUGGACCCUCCCCGUAAGGGUGAUAUUAUAAGACUUUUUUGGCAGACAUUUUGGAAAUAUGCCAACAACAAAAUUGUCACCUUUUUUUAUGUUAUCAUCCAGAAAUAUUUACUAGAUGUCCUAAGGAUACCAGAAAUGCAAAAAACUCAAUAACAUUUUUUUUUUUUUUUUUUUUUUAAGUGGUGCAGCUGGAGUUCAUGUGUGUGUAUUUCUAGGAUUGUUAUAGGCUUUUGCAUUUCCUGAUAUGCUUGCUGACUUUCCGGCAAUAUUCUUUUGUGUUUUUCCAUGCAAAUAGCAUUUAUAUUUACAUUAAACUUAAGCUGAAUAGUUAGUGUCUCAAGACAAAUAUACCUAUGUUUGGUGGUAAUGGUAAGAAUGUGUCUACUUUUUCAAUAACAAAGACUUGUAAGCAGCAAUAACAUGAGUAGUAUAAUAAUCACUGUAUAUUUGCUUCUGCUUUGCUGAUAUUUUUUUCUUAACAUUUACCAUCAAUACAGUUUAAGCACAUCUUCUAAUCUUCUUGUACUGUUGUUGGACUAUGCAUCAUAGACCCAAUUUAGUCAUGUGUUUGGCAACUGAAACAUCCAGGUGUAAAUAAACAUUACCAUUAUUAGC